CUUUAAUGUCAAACUACCCUAAGAGGCACCAGAACCUAUCUCUUCUUGGAAGCUAAGCAGGGCCAGCCUUGGUUAGGACUUGGAUGGGACAAUCAAUUACUUCUCCAACUAUCUAAAAGU
rnacentral:rRNA from 11 species